rnacentral:rRNA from 1 species
UAGGUGGCGAGCGUUAUCCGGUAUUAUUGGGCGUAAAGGGUGCACAGGCGGUAAUAGAAGCUUAAGGUGAAAGCGUGGGGCUCAACUCCAUAAAGCCUUAGGAACUGGAUUACUAGAGUGCAGGAGAGGGCGAUGGAAUUCCAUGUGUAGCGGUAAAAUGCGUAGAGAUAUGGAGGAACACCAGUGGCGAAGGCGGUCGCCUGGCCUGUAACUGACGCUGAGGCACGAAAGCGUGGGGAGCAAA